ACAAGUAAAGAGCAAAACAUAGCUGACCGUUCAAAGCAGCACACACACACUCCCUCCCUUACUAGCCAUGGCCUAUUGCGAAAUGGCUCCUUGUGCGCUAGCUCAACAUUCUGAGCUUACGAUGACUCUAUACACAAACAAGGAGGUGUAUUCUGGACCAGACCAAAAUGCAGCAACAAACACAGAAGGGUCAACAAUAAUGGGCAGAACCCAGGUCUACUCGUGGCCUGUAGCCGAUGGGGCAACUCCUGAUGCAAACAUCGUCGGCCAUCUCCAGGGCACUAGUGUUCAAGUAGCCAAAUCUCCCGCCGCGGUGUAUCACUACUCCCUGGGUUUAGUGUUCUCGGAUGAAAGGUUCAAAGGGUCUACACUCCAAAUACAAGGGACUUCCCAAAUAAAUGGUGAGUGGGCCAUUGUUGGAGGGACAGGAGAACUUACUAUGGCAACGGGUACUGUCAAACGCACAACAGUUGUAGAGAAAGACUAUACCAGGAUCUCAGAACUCAAAAUACAUGCCUAUUUAUUUCGCUCCAGUGAAGCCUAGCUACUACGCCUAAUGUUUUUGAGACUUCUGAAUCCGAUUAAUAACCUCCAGAAGGCCGGAGCUUUAUGCAGUUGUUUAGACUAGUCUUCGUGCAUCCCAGACAAUAAAUGCCAGUAUCUGCACUUCGUCAGUGUUGGCUUGUUUCCUAAUAAAUAACUUGGACUUUGUAUCCGGUUCGUGUCAACUUGUAGUACUUUGCUAGCUGUAAGGGCUGUCGGUGUUGUUGUCACCUUGUACUGAGCUCUUUUGUAUUUCAAUAAAACUCCGUGUCAUAUCAUGUGUGUAUUCAUAAAUCAUAAGAUGUAUUUUAAGGCCUUUGCUUCCGAAAAAA